rnacentral:rRNA from 1 species
UACGUAGGGGGCUAGCGUUGUCCGGAAUCAUUGGGCGUAAAGCGCGCGUAGGCGGCCCGGUAAGUCCGCUGUAAAAGUCAAAGGCUCAACCUUUGAAUGUCAGUGGAUACUGCCGGGCUAGAGUCCGGAAGAGGCGAGUGGAACUCCUGGUGUAGCGGUGGAAUGCGCAGAUAUCGGGAGGAACACCAAUGGCGAAGGCAGCUCGCUGGGACGUUACUGACGCUGAGACGCGAAAGCGUGGGGAGCAAACAGG